rnacentral:misc_RNA from 1 species
GGAAGGAUCAUUAACACUAAUCCAUCUCAACUCAACCUAGCCUUCAGUUGCUUCAGUAGCGCUUGCUAACGCAGUGCCGCUGGAGCAGCACACACAAAUCUAACUAAAGGAGCAUAACUAAGCUCAACACAAAUCCAAAUUCUCAACGAUGGAUAUCUUGGUUCCCAUAACGAUGAAGAACGCAGCGAAGUGCGAUAAGCAAUGCGAAUUGCAGAACCGUGAGUCAUCAGAUUUUUGAACGCAACUGGCGCCGACUGGCUCUCCAGUCGGCAUGCUUGUUUCAGUGUCUUUUUAUCUCAUCACCCAAAUCAUAAUGCGAGAGAUACCCUUCUCUUGUUAAACAUGAAAGCACUCUGCGCUCUGCGAGCGUCCUUGACUUGUCGAGGGUCGCACUCAAUGCAGCAGUCACAUUGCUCACAAUGUGAACUCAUUGAGAGCCGAGGCAGUGCAGCGUAAGCUGCCAGUGCUUAGUCACACAAACUUACUUGCAUCUGAAAUCAAGCAGGAUCACCCGCUGAACUUAAGCAUAUCAAUAAGCGGAGGAGAAGAAAUUAACUAAGAUUGCCUCAGUAACGGCGAGUGAAGCGGCAAGAGCCCAAACUGGAAAUCUUGUACACCACGUGUGCACGAAUUGUAAUCUAUAGGAUGCUUGCUCACCGGGUGGUGGCGCAGAAGUGCCCUCGAACGGGCCGCCAGAGAGGGUGACAGCCCCGUAUGUGGUGCCGCCGCCUAACGAGUAGGUGUUCCAAGAGUCGGGUUGUUUAGUAUUGCAGCCCUAAGUGGGAGAUAAACUUCUUCUAAGGCUAAAUAUAUAUGGGAAACCGAUAGCGAACAAGUACUGUGAAGGAAAGAUGAAAAGAACUUUGAAAAGAGAGUCAAAAGACUUGAAAUCGUUGAGAAGGAAGCGGUAGAAAUUUAUCCUUCGGUGGAGGUCGGUGUUAGUUGCCUAACCAUUGCUGGACGGCAGUACUGUAUAAGGCUGUCGCUGGUACCUGGGGAAGCGGCUGGCUUGACCUUGCCGUGAGGCAAAAUGAGGUCGUGCAUCCACAAAGGCUUCUCACACUCGGCUGGAUUCGUCUGGCAGUGUGGGUGUGCCGGUGGAUAUGCGGCCUGAGGAUGCUUUGUGCGAUUUUGCCAAAAUGGUUUUUACCGACCCGUCUUGAAACACGGACCAAGGAGUCUAACAUAUAUGCGAGUGUGCUGGUGGAAAAACCAACACGCGAAAUGAAGGUAAGUGAUGCCAAGUCGCAAGAUGGCAGCAUCAACCGACCAUGAUCCUCCGGUGAAAGGUUUGAGUACGAGCAUAUCUGUUAGGACCCGAAAGAUGGUGAACUAUGCCUGAGUAGGGUGAAGCCAGGGGAAACUCUGGUGGAGGCUCGUAGCGGUUCUGACGUGCAAAUCGAUCGUCAAACUUGGGUAUAGGGGCGAAAGACUAAUCGAACCAUCUAGUAGCUGGUUCCCUC